CCGGGCGACCAAACCGGCCCUGGAGCGGCCCCGGGCCGGCGCGGCGCUGCCGGGAACCCCGGCUCCUCCCCGCGCGGCCGCAGCCGGCGGAAUCGCUCCCGCCCCACGCCCGACUGCCUCCUCGGUCCCCGCCGCGCACCCUACCCCGCGGGUCCCCAGAAUCUCAGUUUGAAACUGAAGGUAUCGCUGCUGUCCUCAGCUCUCCUGGAUCUUCCGCCCACCCUGCCCAGGGCCUCUUCUCCAUACUAAUUCGCGGUGAAGCAGUCGGGGCGGCUUUACAGGGGCAUCCUCAGCUACGCCUUUCAUCAUAAGGAACGUAUGUGCAUCGAUGGAGCUCACCUAGUGCCAAGAGAGCAGCAAAAGGCAUUGAAAUAAGAAGCAGCUUCCUGCCAGCGGCAAGUACCUCUUGGUAGAGCCAUGUCGAUGCUGCCCUACUUGUCGAGGCCGGCGUGUGCUGACGGCACAGGGACUGACACUCUGGGCUCAGAGCCCACGUGGAGCAAGAAGGGAUGGCUCUUUCGCUGAGGUGCCCAUGGUGAUAUCGGAAGCUUGCUCCUCAGCUAACACCAGGAAGGCCACGCGUGUGAGCAGCCCGGCUUCUGAACCUGGUCCUGGCGUGGGUUAGACUCACCGGAUA